rnacentral:misc_RNA from 1 species
GAUGAAGAACGUAGCGAAAUGCGAUAAGUAGUGUGAAUUGCAGAAUUCAGUGAAUCAUCGAAUCUUUGAACGCACAUUGCGCCCUAUAGUAUUCUGUAGGGCAUGCAUGUUCGAGCGUCAUUUGUACCUUCAAGCUUUGCUUGGUGUUGGGUGUUUGUCCUCUCCCUGGUGUUUGGACUCGCCUUAAAACAAUUGGCAGCCAGUGUUUUGGUAUUGAAGCGCAGCACAAUUUGCGAUUCUGGCCUUAAAAUACUAGCGUCCAUAAGUACAUUCUCACUUUUGACCUCGGAUCAUGUAGGGAUACCCGCUGAACUUAAGCAUAUCAAUAAGGGAGGA